ensembl:lncRNA
CAGUUCCCCAGCGGAGUUAUCAAGGGGACUCCGACUCAGGUUCCUCAAACCACAGACGGUCAGAGCGAAAACCGAACUGAGAGCGUGCGGCAACGCCCGUUUCAUUCGCCGAAACGAGCCCGAAAAAGAUCGUGCAGCUAAUACAAGCGCUGGAGUUAGACGACCUUUGUACCAUACCGAGCAAGCACAGCACUGACCGCGUGGUCCUAAAUCUGGUGUGGCCAUGAAGAACAUAAUGACUCUAAUAGAAGUUUGUUCCACCCUGCCUUGAUUCAUGCUAAGGUGCCAGCAGCUUCACCCACUAUUGCUUUUGCACUAUCAGUGAGAAUGUCAACACAGUGAGAAUGUCAACACAGUGAAAAAAGAGUAAAUAAUGUCUUAAUAUUAUUAUGAAAAUAGUUUCGACUAUUCAGACUCCUUGAAAACAUCUCAGACAGUCCCAGAGUCUGUGGACUACACUUGGAGAACCGCAGAGCGUAUCUGCAGAAUGUAUCCAUGCAUUUAACAAAUAUUUAUUGAACCCUUUCUAUGGGCUGGACACCGUUUUAGACAUUAAAAAUAACACAGUUAGCCAAACAGGAAAAUACCCUGGAGCUUAUAUUCUAGAGAAUAUAAGAGCUUGGCAUUAUCACCCCACAUAUUACUCAAUAAUGUUUUUAAAUAAAUUCAUUAAAUAAUUUGAAUGUCACAUAGGUUUCACAAAUAGCUGUCCUAUCUCUAGCUUAUUUUUUCAAUGAUAAUUUCUAACCCAUGAUAAUGGGGCCGAUCCUUAUCAUACCUGAAGAAAUACUGGCAAAUGACAUAGGGACCUCUCCAAGCAGUGAUCCCUUCACUUGAGAAAACCAGUCCGUGUCAAGGCUGUGGGUGCAGGAUUUGAGAAGAGUAGAUUUUAAUUGGAAUCCAGUUACUGCCAGGAAGUCACGUGAGAAUCCGACUGACCUGGAGGGGUAAGAGAGAGAUAGC